UGGCCGGUACAACGGGGUGCGACACGGUGACGUGGGGCGGAUCCCUGAAAACCGGUCUCAGUUCGGAUCGCAGUCUGCAACUCGACUGCGUGAAGGUGGAGUCGCUAGUAAUCGCGGAUCAGCAACGCCGCGGUGAACGCGUUCCCGGGCCUUGUACACACCGCCCGUCAAGUCAUGAGAGUUGGCAACACCCGAAGUCGGUAGUCUAACCGCAAGGAGGACGCCGCCGAAGGUGGGGUUGAUGAUUAGGGUUAAGUCGUAACAAGGUAGC
rnacentral:rRNA from 1 species